rnacentral:tRNA from 1 species
AAAUAAGAAAUAUCAGUUUCGACCUGAAAAAUGACACCACGUCCUUAUUUA